ensembl:lncRNA
GAUGAGUGUUGAGUUGCAGUGUGCAACCAUCCCCAAAACAAAUCUGUUAACAUUCACUGUUUGUUCUGCCUCCCCAAGGUCAGGAAGCUGCUGAAGCAGUUCAUGCUGGAUAACGUUGUUCCUCAGCUGCAGAAGGAGGGUGAGGGGAAGAGCUGCUUCAUCCAGGACCCCAUGAGGGCAGCUGUGGUCAUGCUGUACGCGUGGAAGAAGUUCGGCCUCAAGCUGGACCACGGAGAGUCCACCCGGCUCUGCAGCACCCUGUGCUUGCCCAAGCUGCCCAAAGACUCCUUUCUGCAGUACUGGACCGACUUCGCCCAAGCCGUCUCCGGUCUCAAAAACCUGCCAGACAUGUUGGUGGCUCUGAUCAACAGUGUGAAGACUGAAGGGCCCCGGUGGAUUUUGGUGCUCCCCCUGCUCCACCUCCUCAAGGGAUCCUCCAAACCGUUCACACCCAUAUCUACCACAGUCACCCCCAAGUACGAGCAGUCCUGGGCGGGCCUCCAAGGCCUCAAAGCAGACUACAUGACACACAACAGCCAGGACAGGAGAGCGAUGUUGAAUCUCAUGAAAAACAAUGGCCAUCUGGUUGAGGUGGACAGACUAGUGUCUCGGUCCUGGAUGUGUCUGCUGACCAUAGAGGACUUGGUGGAAUGCAGCAUACUCAUCAACGUGGAACUGCUGGACCUGCUCCAAGUCUUCACUCUGAGGGCCCCUCAAGAUGUCACCUAUAGCAACAAGCAGUAUGUGUCGGACACUCUCUCACAUAUUCAAAGCAAUCUCAUCGAGGAGAAAUACAGGUGAUUGACUUACUGUAACUCAUCUGGUUCACUCCUUUCCUUUUGAUCUUUGAUGAUAGUUAUUGUACAACAUCCACUGUUUUUUGUGGUUGCAGUUGUUUUAGUGAGGCGUAUGGCAGAGAGUGCUUGGCAACUGCAGUGAAGCUUCUUGAGAAGAUCUGCAAAGGAGUCCGAUCCACUUCAACCUACACGCAGAACUUCACAGACAUCCCUGUGGCAUGCAUGAACAUGGUUGUCUCAAUAUCUGAGUUUGCCCGGGCCUUUGAGUCACAGGUAUGUGGAGUUCAAGUAGAAAAUGUCUGAUGACUCAUUUAGACUUUGCCCAAGAUAAGCGGUUGGCCAACAGUAUGUAUGUACUGACUCUCUAGAUAACAAGGUUAUUUAUUAAACAGAAAACACAUUAAGAAAGACGUCUUUGAAUCUGACCACUAUCUUCUAUUUCGGGGAAUUUUCAGGGAUGUCACAAUACUAUAUUAUCAUAAUACAUAGGUGCCGAUACGAUAUGUAUUGGGAUUCUAUAUGGAUCAUGAUUCUUUAUUGCGAUUCUAUGUUCCAAACAUAUUGCUCACUAUAUGUCUGCUGCAGAGCGAUAAGAGAGAGCAGGAGAACAACGAGUUUUGAUCAAGUCGGGGAAAUAAUAGUUUCAAAGCAUGUUGGUUCACUAUUUAAAAAGAAGAUGGAGAACAAGCUCUAAAAGGACAAAUACCAGAGUUUUGGUGCAAGUCCAUUCUAGAAGUUGUAUUUCUAUGGUUGAGACAUUUCCGAAAAAGGAUGGAAAUAACUUAUCAUUCCUUUCAAGGCAACUAAGGAUGUGGAAAGAGAGCAUAUGCAUGCCAAGGAGCUGGAUCUGCUAUCCGGAACUGACUAGUUCAGACCAUAGAACAAUAUUUACUAGAACGGACAUUCCCAUUUAAGUCAAUUGUCUGUCAUGGGUGGACCGGUGGCCAUAUUGAGUGUACCCAUGAGUGUUCCAGACAAAUUGCUGUGGUUUGAGGGUCUUUGUCCAUUCUAGUAGUUGUAUUUCUAUGGUUGAGACAUUUCCGAAAAAGGAUGGAAAUAACUUAUCAUUCCUUUCAAGGCAACUA